UACGUAGGGUGCAAGCGUUGUUCGGAAUUAUUGGGCGUAAAGGGCGCGUAGGCGGCCUGUUAAGUCGAACGUGAAAUCCCCGGGCUCAACCCGGGAACUGCGUCCGAUACUGGCAGGCUUGAAUCCGGGAGAGGGAUGCGGAAUUCCAGGUGUAGCGGUGAAAUGCGUAGAUAUCUGGAGGAACACCGGUGGCGAAGGCGGCAUCCUGGACCGGCAUUGACGCUGAGGCGCGAAAGCCAGGGGGAGCAAACGGG
rnacentral:rRNA from 1 species